UUAAAUUGAAGAGUUUGAUCAUGGCUCAGAUUGAACGCUGGCGGCAGGCCUUACACAUGC
rnacentral:rRNA from 1 species